AUGGUUCACUUGUGUGUGACCAUUUCAGACGAUGGUGUCAGGCUCGAGUCGGUACAGAAAGGAUCACCAAAGACUACGCGAGGCGGGAAAGCGCUUGAAAUGGCUACACUGCGGCGCCAACCAAGAGCCAGAGCGGCAGGAACUCGGCAGGACCGCGGCUCCUGCUCUUCCACCGCGUCUUGCCCUGUCUUCUCUGAACCGUACAGUGACCAUGAAGAAGACCCACCGCUACGCCGCCAAUCUUCUCCUUUGAUACUGAAGGGUUCUCUUUCAAGUUUACACAGUUCUAUCAGUUCAGACCCCGAAGGUCCCCCUCCUAGCCUCCAGGGAUCAUUGCCAUGUCUCCAAGAAUCUCUGGCCAGCUUCCGGGGAUCUUUAUCCAGCCUGAGGGGAUCGAUGUCUCGCUUGACGAGGAGGUCGCUUGGAAGCCUGGACAACUCAAGCCCCAGCCUACAUAGUGGCAAUGGCAGCUCCAGCGAUGAUGACGGCAGUUGGGACACUAAUAGCUGGAGCUCAGGUGCAACCUGCCUGCAACGGAUUCCUGUCAAGCAAGAUAGCACCGAGGCGUCAGGGGGAAAGUCUUACACCACUGAGCAUGUGGCUGCUAGUGCCACGGGAGAGCCUGAGAUCAUUUACCAAAAUCUUAUCUUCUCACAUUCUGCUGGCGAAACUGAAAGUAAAGGAGAUGGUGAGAGAACUUCCACGGAGCUAAGAAAAGACGCGGGGACCCAAAAUGCGUCCCCCGCCAGCCCGGGCGAGAAUGCUCCCACAUUGUCGUCACAUCGGCAUGACAGGCGGAAGUUCUCGCAAUUUCUGAACGAGGUGACAUGUAGGGUGUUGAAAUCCAACGGCGGCCUUUCUCAACAACAGUCCACACCUCGACACUGCCACUCGUCCCCUCUGCCUUCAACCCCAUCUCACCCAUCACUAACAACAACGCUGCAUUCGACCCUAACUAUCCCACCGCCACCACCACCAACACCACCAACAAACGUGUGGUACAGCCCAACCAGCUCAAACCUCCAGACCAUCAAGGAGUAUAAUUCCAAAGACAUUAACAGCUCCAUCCACCAAUGGAGCCAGACAUUACCCAGCUGUAAGAUCCUGGAACCCGGGGACGUGCUGAGCAAAGUGAAAAGGGAAAGGGCCGUGUACCCAGAGCACGACCUGGAGCCAUGUACAAAGAUCCAGGCGGCCUCCACCGGGAGACUUUAUCUGGAGACAGACAUUGACAGUGUGAGGCGACUUGAUGAACUGGCCGCUAAUGGCCUCCUGGGGAAAGAGAGGAACGGAAAAGCAAUGGAAAAGGAUGUGGAGAGAGGGACGGGGAGGGAAAACAGGACUCCUUGGGAGAUAAAUGGGUGCUCGGGGAUGGAACGAGGGAAGGAGAAGAGAAAAGAGAGCCCCUGGGAGAGAGACGGAGGAAUAGAGAAAGAGAAGGGGAAAGAUGGAGGUAGAGAGAGGCCUUGCUGGGAGAAAGGCAGGUGGAUGGAAAGAGGAAGGGAGAAGGAGAAGAAAAGUCUAUUUACCGGCAAUGAGCUGCCUCCUCCUCAAUUAACUUCGAGUGGACGGAAUAACCGCUGCCCUGUCUUCAGCUGGCCAGAGGGCUUUCCCAGAAUGUCAUACAGAUCUACUUCACUGCCCAGACCUGUUAAUAUCACUGUGAGUAGCAGUACAUUUAAGGGAUUGUUUCAACUUUUUCACAAAACUCUAUUAGAUGUUGAUGCGAUGUUGAUUGGAUGCUUCACACUCCAAUACAAUUCGGAGUAG
ensembl:lncRNA